CGCCUUGCCAGCCCGCUCAGAAACUCAAAGGAAUUGACGGGGGCCCGCACAAGCGGAGGAACAUGUGGUUAAUUCGAUGAUACGCGAGGAACCUUACCCGGGCUUGAAAUGCAUCUGACCGGCCUUGAAAGAGGCACUCCCUUCGGGGCAGAUGUGUAGGUGCUGCAUGGUUGUCGUCAGCUCGUGCCGUGAGGUGUCGGCUUAAGUGCCAUAACGAGCGCAACCCUCAUCAUUAGUUACCAUCAGGUAAGGCUGGGGACUCUAAUGAGACUGCCAUCGUAAGAUGUGAGGAAGGUGGGGAUGACGUCAAAUCAGCACGGCCCUUACGUCCGGGGCGACACACGUGUUACAAUGGUCGGUACAAAGGGUUGCCAAGCCGCGAGGUGGAGCUAAUCCCAUAAAACCGAUCGUAGUCCGGAUCGCAGUCUGCAACUCGACUGCGUGAAGUCGGAAUCGCUAGUAAUCGUGAAUCAGAAUGUCACGGUGAAUACGUUCCCGGGCCUU
rnacentral:rRNA from 1 species